rnacentral:rRNA from 1 species
UACGAAGGGGGCUAGCGUUGCUCGGAAUCACUGGGCGUAAAGCGCACGUAGGCGGCUUUCUAAGUCAGGGGUGAAAUCCUGGAGCUCAACUCCAGAACUGCCUUUGAUACUGGGAAGCUCGAGUCCGGAAGAGGUGAGUGGAACUCCGAGUGUAGAGGUGAAAUUCGUAGAUAUUCGGAAGAACACCAGUGGCGAAGGCGGCUCACUGGUCCGGUACUGACGCUGAGGUGCGAAAGCGUGGGGAGCAAACAGG